rnacentral:lncRNA from 10 species
GAUCUGCUUCAUGGCAGAACAGAGUAAUGGUUAAGAGCUGGGUUCUGGAGGGAGCAAGAUGUGAUUGUGUGUCUGUGUCCCAGCUCUGCCACCUGCUAGAGGUAUGUAACCUCUCUGAGUCUCAGUCCCUCCAUCUGUAGAAUGGAAUUCUCAACAGUACAUGCCUCAUGGAGUUGUAGGAGGUGUAUCCAAGCUGAUGCUUGUAAUACAGCGCCCAGUGCUGUAAGCACCUAUGAGGAAACAGAGACCCGGAGAGAUACAGUCCUUGGCCAGUCAGCCAAGUUGGAGCAUAGCUUGGACUUUGAACCCAGUCUCCCAGCUCCCAGUCUGCCUGCAGCCCUGUCCCUCUCCACCCCCAAGCCCUGACCAGAAUUCUCUUCUGUACAUCCAGAAGGGCUUUCCCAUUCCUCAGACUCUCUGAGGCAAUUACAGUCCCUACCACUCAUGUGGCCCUUAAUCAUUUACUGCCCUUGCAAACAGCCUGUGGUCAAAAGCAAUAAAGUUCGGACUUGGACAGAUCAGACCUCGUGUGGCUGUUGUUUGUGCACACGGCCCACCUCCUUUACUGACUGGAAGAGCUCAGAGGGCAAGAACCAGGUGGCUAGAGGUUUCCGUGUUCUCCCUGCCCUGCUGCC